GCGACCCCAGGUCAGGCGGGACUACCCGCUGAGUUUAAGCAUAUCAAUAAGCGGAGGAAAAGAANCUUACCA
rnacentral:rRNA from 1 species